CCCUUAGAUGUCCUGGGCCGCACGCGCGCUACACUGAUGCAUUCAACGAGUUUUACCUUGGCCGAGAGGCCUGGGCAAUCUUUUAAACCUGCAUCGUGAUAGGGAUAGAUUAUUGCAAUUAUUAAUCUUGAACGAGGAAUUCCUAGUAAACGCAAAUCAUCAAUUUGCAUUGAUUACGUCCCUGCCUUUUGUACACACCGCCCGUCGCACCUACCGAUUGAAUGGUCCGGUGAAGCCUCGGGAUUGUGGCCAGUUCACUUUAUUGGGAGUUGGCUGUGAGAACUUGUCUAAACCUUAUCAUUUAGAGGAAGGUGAAGUCGUAACA
rnacentral:rRNA from 1 species